rnacentral:lncRNA from 1 species
ACUCCCAGCUCCCUCUUCCGAACGGUGUGUGUCGGGAUAAUCCUGCAGACAGGGUAAGAUCGAUAUCCUACCCAGGAGGAAGUCUUGUCCAGAUACCACUCUCUUCCGAAAGCCAAUUCCGCCUCAGGAUGCUGCUACUUUCUGCAUACCUGAGCAUGCCCACAAGAGCUGCAAAAUUUGAAUACUCAUGUUUCGUCAGUAACCAGUGUCAGUCAUGACUAUUUUUUUAUUUUUUUUCUACUGAACACAGUUGGUAAUGAAACCUGUUUCUAGUACCGUGUCAACCGACGACCUGAGUGGAAUUAAGUUCGUUCGGAAAUGUAAAUCCUUGUCUUACUUAGUCAGGCUGCAUGUGCUUUUGCUUGCAGCCGAACUGAGUUUCGAAAUUUUGGUCUGGAUUUCGUUAUGGCGACGAUUACGAGGCCAUGUUGUAUGUACUUUUAGAUUCACUUGAAUCACACGUUCGACUUCACUGAUCUUUGUGUGGGCAUGUACUCGUUCACUAAAGCCAAAAUCCUGUGUGUGAAAUUCAGGCGAACACACAUGAUUGUACCGCGCAUUCAGCC